GGACGAACGCUGGCGGCGCGCUUAACACAUGCAAGUCGAGCGAUGAAAUUUCGACAGAUCCCUUCGGGGUGAAGAUGAAAUGGAUUAGCGGCGGACGGGUGAGUAACACGUGAGUAACCUGCCUUUGACAUUGGGAUAGCCUCGGGAAACUGGGAUUAAUACCAAAUGACACUAACUGAUCACAUGAUCAAUUAGUCAAAGAAAUUCGGUCAAAGAUGGACUCGCGGCUGAUUAGCUAGUUGGUGAGGUAACGGCCCACCAAGGCGACGAUCAGUAGCCGGCCUGAGAGGGUGAUCGGCCACAUUGGAACUGAGACACGGUCCAAACUCCUACGGGAGGCAGCAGUGGGGAAUAUUGCACAAUGGGGGAAACCCUGAUGCAGCGACGCCGCGUGAGCGAAGAAGGCCUUCGGGUCGUAAAGCUCUUUUAUGAGGGAAGAUAAUGACGGUACCUCAAGAAAAAGCCCCGGCUAACUACGUG
rnacentral:rRNA from 1 species